rnacentral:misc_RNA from 1 species
AAGUCGUAACAAGGUUUCCGUAGGUGAACCUGCGGAAGGAUCAUUAAAAAGGGGUAUUAAUAACGUUGGCGCGGGUGGGUGCGAGAUUGGUGCGAGUUGAAAAGGAGAUGCGCGUGGCUGGAUGGGCGAGGUGUGUUGGCAGACGCGCAAAACACAAUGUCACGAGUUGAGAAAAAAUUCGUAUACCACUUUUGACAAUGGAUCUCUAGGCUCUU